AUACGGAGGGUGCAAGCGUUACUCGGAAUCAUUGGGCGUAAAGCGCGCGCAGGCGGCUUGAUAAGUUGGAUGUGAAAGCCUACGGCUCAACCGUAGAACUGCAUCCAAAACUGUCAAGCUAGAGUCUGGGAGGGGAAGAUGGAAUUAGUUGUGUAGGGGUAAAAUCCGUAGAGAUAACUAGGAAUACCAAAAGCGAAGGCAAUCUUCUGGAACACUACUGACGCUGAGGCGCGAAGGCGUGGGGAGCAAACAGGAUUAGAAACCCCAGUAGUCC
rnacentral:rRNA from 1 species